CACCUUUUACUAUUUUUCUCUCCCAAAUUUUGAUUUGUUGAUUAAUGUUUCCAUUAAUUGUUGAAACAAUUAUUUCUAAGUAUUCACACUGCAAUCGAGUUCAACCAUAAUACUUUUUCUGAAUAUAUAAAGGAAUUUGCAUAUCUGAAUCCAAAUUAAAUUUUUAAUUCAAACAAGGUUGACUAUGCAAUUUUUCAUCAAGACUUAACAUUUCAUUAUAAUGUAAUAAAAAGAAAACUAUAUCAUAAACUCAACAAACUAAAAGUAAGCUGGAUUAGUUUUGUUUUGAAUGUGUGUGUGUUUUCAGAAAAUAUGUUAGAUAAAAUAACAUAAAAAUGUCAGUAAAGUGUUAUUUUAAACUGCAAAAAAUACCUAAACAGUAAAUUUAUUUUAUUCAUCACAUUCAAAUUUAUACAUAAAUUAAGUUUUUUAUUCGAAAGAAUUAAUGGAUCAAAUCAAUCAUUUUUUAUAGAUCCUAUUUAUUUUUGAAAUACUACAAACAUGUUUCAAUUUUAUAAUAAUAUCAGAUAUUGUUUUGCUUUCUACAACCGAUUUAUUUCAAUGUGGACACCUCUAAUAUUAUGUGCUUUGUAUAAUAUCUAAAAAAUAUUUGUUCAGAUCGCCAAUUAUGACACUGAUCAAAUAAUUUAUAAAAAAGUAAAUUGGCCCGUGCGUAGCCGGGCAGUAAUACUAGUAAUUAUAAAUUUGCGUUUCCUUGUUAUGAAAGGGACAACACAUGCGUGUUCUUAACGCGUAUCGAUUCUCUAGUUCCUCCCUAAGCCAAUCUACCAGUUCGUGUGUGUUUUCAAAAAGUUUAUCUACGUUCUAAUACAACCCUCCUAGCCCGUUUUGGGAGGUAUUAACGCCGGAAGAAGAGGAACAGACAAAACCGCACAACGAGAUUGUGGAUUGUGGUGGACUCUCUCUUACCUUUUACUAUUUUACAAUACUAGUUUUAUAUUUACUCUCCAGAAAUAGAGAAUAAAAACGAGAUAAGUGUAAUUUUGAAAACUACGUACAUUUGGACCCACUCUUUGUCACAGCGACAUUUGCGCGCGUUCUCCACGUCAGUCUUUGCCAUUUACUCCACUGUUGCUGUCCCAUGCGCCAUUUCAAUGCGAUUACUAACGGCUAGUUAAACCUAUGUUUAUAUUCUACUAGCGUCGGCCCGCCCCACGGGCGGGAUGGUAAUUUGAAAGUAAUUGAAACAGUUAGAAUAAAUAUUUAAUAUAAAACUUGAUUAACUUAAAACUUAAA